GACGAACGCUGGCGGCGUGCUUAACACAUGCAAGUCGAACGGAAGGGCCCUGCUUUUGUGGGGUGCUCGAGUGGCGAACGGGUGAGUAACACGUGAGUAACCUGCCCUUGACUUUGGGAUAACUUCAGGAAACUGGGGCUAAUACCGGAUAGGAGCUCCUGCUGCAUGGUGGGGGUUGGAAAGUUUCGGCGGCUGGGGAUGGACUCGCGGCUUAUCAGCUUGUUGGUGGGGUAGUGGCUUACCAAGGCUUUGACGGGUAGCCGGCCUGAGAGGGUGACCGGCCACAUGGGGACUGAGAUACGGCCCAGACGCGUACGGGAGGCAGCAGUGGGGAAUAUGGCACAAUGGGCGGAAGCCUGAGGCAGCAACGCCGCGUGCGGGAUGACGGCCUUCGGGUUGUAAACCGCUUUCGCCUGUGACGAAGCGUGAGUGACGGUAAUGGGUAAAGAAGCACCGGCUAACUACGUG
rnacentral:rRNA from 1 species